UUGUAAAAAAAUAUUUAUAUCAAAUUCUAUACUGAAAUAUCAAUUUGUUUGCAAAUAGUAUUGUGUAAACUACAAUACACACAUUUGUAGCCUUGGCUUCGUAUAUGCUUAUGUACAGUUGACAUUGUUUUCCAGGGUUACCAGCAAUCCAGACACACAGCUUCGUGUACACCAGAAGAGACAGGUUCAGAGGUUGAAAGCUUUCAACUGUACCUCAGUGAGAGCGGGAAUGAAAGUGAUACAGGCCGUGAUCCAACAUGGACACUUCCCCCCAAGUCUCCGCCAGAGGUUGUUGUCCCUUCUACAAUGGGUACUCGCACGACCAGUAUAAGAAAGAGGAAACGAGAGG